AUUGAACGCUGGCGGCAGGCUUAACACAUGCAAGUCGAGCGGGGGAAGGUAGCUUGCUACCGGACCUAGCGGCGGACGGGUGAGUAAUGCUUAGGAAUCUGCCUAUUAGUGGGGGACAACAUCUCGAAAGGGAUGCUAAUACCGCAUACGUCCUACGGGAGAAAGCAGGGGAUCUUUGGACCUUGCGCUAAUAGAUGAGCCUAAGUCGGAUCAGCUAGUUGGUGGGGUAAAGGCCUACCAAGGCGACGGUCUGUAGCGGGUCUGAGAGGAUGAUCCGCCACACUGGGACUGAGACACGGCCCAGACUCCUACGGGAGGCAGCAGUGGGGAAUAUUGGACAAUGGGGGGAACCCUGAUCCAGCCAUGCCGCGUGUGUGAAGAAGGCCUUAUGGUUGUAAAGCACUUUAAGCGAGGAGGAGGCUACUUUAGUUAAUACCUAGAGGUAGUGGACGUUACUCGCAGAAUAAGCACCGGCUAACUCUGUGCCAGCCGCCGCGGUAA
rnacentral:rRNA from 1 species